CCCUUAGAUGUUCUGGGCAGCACGCGCGCUACAAUGGUCUUCGCAAACGGAUGCAUUCUCGAAGGAGAAUGCCAAUCUUGGAAUCUAUGCCUUGGUCGGGACAGUUGCUUGCAAUUUUUCGACUCGAACCAGGAAUUCCUUGUAAUCGUGAUUCAUCACAUCACGAUGAAUACGUCCCUGCCCUUUGUACACACCGCCCGUCGCUCCUACCGAUCGAAGAGUUAGGUGAAUUGUUGUGAUCGAUAAGAUUUGACUAUGGUCAACUCUCGUUGUGAAAUUCUGUGAAUCUGACUGUUUAGAGGAAGGAAAAGUCGUAACA
rnacentral:rRNA from 1 species